rnacentral:rRNA from 1 species
UACGUAGGUGGCAAGCGUUGUCCGGAUUUACUGGGCGUAAAGGGUUCGUAGGUGGCCCGCUAAGUCACACGUGAAAUCCCUCAGCUUAACUGGGGAACUGCGUGUGAGACUGGCGGGCUUGAGUGCAGGAGAGGAACGCGGAAUUCCAGGUGUAGCGGUGAAAUGCGUAGAUAUCUGGAGGAACACCGGUGGCGAAGGCGGCGUUCUGGACUGUAUCUGACACUGAGGAACGAAAGCCAGGGGAGCAAACGGG